CCAGUGUGCUGGAGGUGCGUCGGCAGAAAGUACAUCAGUAUGUAUGCUGGCUCCAAUAGAGAGAAGGCAGGAAAAGAUGUAACCUGUGAGGGUUGCCUUCAUAAUGCCAUGGACUAACACAACCCACAGCCGUUCUCUGGGAAUCCCAGGUAUUUGUAUUUGGUUUUUGGAAAUACAAAUUCAAGCCAGGCAGUGAUGGCGCAUGUCUUUAAUCCCAGCACUUGGGAGGCAGUGGCAGGCAGAUUUCUGAGUUCGAGGCCAGCCUGGUCUACAGAGUGAGUUCCAGGACAGCCAGGGCUACACAGAGAAACCCUGUCUCAAAAGCCCACACCCCCCUCCAAAAAAAAGAAAGAAAGAAAAAAGAAAUACAAAUUCAGGUUUCAAACUCUCAGGCCUCCUGUCUCAGCCUCACAGGAUACAAAGCAUGGGUGACUGGCCUGAUGAUGUUCUUUUUAAUAGUUAAACAUUUUACUACCAAAGGAAAACAGACUGUUAGCUGGGUCUGGCAGAACAUGCCUGUCAAUGGGGGGUGGCCGCAAGACCAAGAGUUCAAGGUCAUUCUCAGCUCUCAGGUACCCUGGGCUGCAUGGGAUGAUGGAUCUUGACUCAAGAAAAAGAAGAAAAAUGGCUUUUACAAAAAAGCAUGUUUUGGCCCCCCAAUAAACCAGUAUUGCCAGAAACUGCUCUGACUUCUAAGGUUUCAUGCCUGAGAAAGUUUUCAUGGGAAACAAUAAAGGUCACAAAACAACUUUCCUUCAGAUGUCCUGCCCUGUGCCGCAAUGUUUGCCAAGAACUGUUUCCCCGCCUCCUGGUUCCUCUCAUUGGCCCGUUGGUCUUUCCAUCACAGGUGACCUCCAGUAUCUUGGUCCCACAUAGCUCAGGGUGAAGAGCUGAGUAAUCCUGAACCUGGGGCUGCUGCCGGAACAACCUUUCACACAGUGCCCACUGCUCCCGGUUGCACAACAUGUUUGACUGCGAGAGAUAAACGCCAGGUUUACAUUUGACUCCAGUCACCUUCGGGGCCAGCAGCCGGAGCCUGUAAACAGCACCCACUCCUUUAGAAAGGCGCGACUUUCCCAAAGUCCUGCCUUCCGAGCGCUGCGCCAGGCUGGGAGGAGGUGGACAAGGAAGGGGAGUAUUCCAAAGAAAAAGGAGGCUACAAGCAAGCUCUCGACUCUGUUUAGGAAGAAAAGGAAGAGCCGAGCUGAAGCAUUGGCCCUGCGGGGGGUGGGGGUGGGGCUCAUUUUGUGAACUGGAAUUUAAGAACUAAAACUAGUCCCCCUAACGUGUUUCUGUUUACCCAUCAGAAAUCAAUCUCUGAUUGGAGCAGGUACUUUUUCCUCCGUAAAACAGGCCAAAGAGGAAACGGAACUGUCUUAGUACUAAAAUAAUCUGUAAUUUAAUUGAUGUUGCAUGUUAGGCUUAUUGAAGACACCACUAUGAGAAGAUUCUGUGCUUUGUUUUCUGACACUGAAAACUGCAGGGUGGGGGCGAGAAAAAUCCCCCCACGACUUCACACAGGUUAUAGGAGGAAAACUAAUAGUCGAGAAGGAGGGAUUUCAGUGGAUUCUUUCAAGAAUAAACAUGUCUUACUCAGA
rnacentral:lncRNA from 1 species